ensembl:snoRNA
CUUGAGGUUCACAGACCUCCAAAGUGUAUUCUAGCUGAACAUCACUGGAAAUGCCUCAUAAAGAAAUACUGUCAUUCUGCUUUACUCUUUACUCCAAGGACUAUCUGUUAGAUCUGUGGAAAGGAACUGCAAGACAGUU